rnacentral:rRNA from 1 species
AUUGAACGCUGGCGGCAUGCCUUACACAUGCAAGUCGAACGGCAGCACGGGAGCAAUCCUGGUGGCGAGUGGCGAACGGGUGAGUAAUAUAUCGGAACGUGCCCAGUCGUGGGGAUAACGUAGCGAAAGCUACGCUAAUACCGCAUACGAUCUACGGAUGAAAGCGGGAGAUCGCAAGACCUCGCGCGAUUGGAGCGGCCGAUAUCAGAUUAGGUAGUUGGUGAGGUAAAGGCUCACCAAGCCGACGAUCUGUAGCUGGUCUGAGAGGAUGAUCAGUCACACUGGAACUGAGACACGGUCCAGACUCCUACGGGAGGCAGCAGUGGGGAAUAUUGGACAAUGGGCGAAAGACCUGAUCCAGCCAUGCCGCGUGUGUGAAGAAGGUACUUCGGAUUGUUAAAGACACUUUAAGUUUAGGGUAGGGAAGGGGACCG